rnacentral:rRNA from 1 species
UACGGAGGGUGCAAGCGUUGUUCGGAAUUACUGGGCGUAAAGCGCGCGUAGGCGGCUUUUUAAGUCAGAUGUGAAAGUCCAUGGCUCAACCAUGGAAGUGCAUUUGAUACUGAAAGGCUUGAGUACUGGAGGGGAUGGUGGAAUUCCCGGUGUAGAGGUGAAAUUCGUAGAUAUCGGGAGGAAUACCGGUGGCGAAGGCGACCAUCUGGCCAGAUACUGACGCUGAGGUGCGAAAGCGUGGGGAGCAAACAGG